rnacentral:ncRNA from 1 species
UUGAGCGGUAUGACGUGAAAAUGUCACGUACCGUUCUUAGGAGAGGGAAAGCGGAUAACCGCUUUUUUAUCCGAC